CCGCUGUAAUGCAAGCUAUGAUGUGAAUUCUUGACUCGGAGCACCAUCCUUUUUAUUACAAUGCUUUUGGCUUUUUUUUGGUGAAAACCCUUUUUUUUCCAGAAAGGCGUUUGGUCCGGUGAACCCAACUCACCUGCGCUCCGGUGUGACACAUGCUGCCAAUCAACGAGAUGGACGGCUCUGAUCUCUGGUCCACCGCCAAAAGCGUCCUACCUACGGCGACCCGUCCAU
rnacentral:lncRNA from 1 species